GAUGAACGCUAGCGGCAGGCUUAACACAUGCAAGUCGAGGGGUAUAGUUCUUCGGAGCUAGAGACCGGCGCACGGGUGCGUAACGCGUAUGCAAUCUACCUUUUGCAGAGGGAUAGCCCAGAGAAAUUUGGAUUAAUACCUCACGGUAUGUGAGAAUGGCAUCAUUUUCACAUUAAAGUCACAACGGCAAAAGAUGAGCAUGCGUCCCAUUAGCUAGUUGGUAAGGUAACGGCUUACCAAGGCAACGAUGGGUAGGGGUCCUGAGAGGGAGAUCCCCCACACUGGUACUGAGACACGGACCAGACUCCUACGGGAGGCAGCAGUGAGGAAUAUUGGACAAUGGGCGCAAGCCUGAUCCAGCCAUGCCGCGUGCAGGAUGACGGUCCUAUGGAUUGUAAACUGCUUUUAUACAGGAAGAAACACUGGUUCGUGAACCAGCUUGACGGUACUGUAAGAAUAAGGAUCGGCUAACUCCGUGCCAGCCGCCGCAGUAAUAC
rnacentral:rRNA from 1 species